AAUACAUUUUUAGAAUGUUACUUUCGUAAAAGGAUACUCUCACGUGGUAAGGAUGGCCUUAUAGGACCAUCUUAGAGCCAAAGAUGAAAGAAAAGGAAUCCUCCCUGCUUGAUAAUAAUGUGUUUUAAUGUGUAGCCUUCAAUUCACUAAUUCAAAAAUCAUACAUUUCGAAGACACCAAGAGACUCUUCAGCUCCCACUCAGGCUGAUGGUUGCUACUGACUCCCCACUCGUCCCAUGAAAUCUUCCAGGGCUGAUUAGGAUCUGUAAGAUACGGAUGUAGAGACACAGAGAGGUAAUGACAUUUACUGUAUACUAUUGGAUAGUGCAUCCCUGACUUGAAGACCUAGACUCCUGAGCACUCAUCAAUGGCUCCAAGGUGGCAAAGCUGUGCUUCCACCAUUAGAGCAAGCUCAAGCUAGCAUACUGAAGAGACCUGCCAAGAUCAGCAAAGCUGACUACAGAUGGACAAGCAAACCCAGCUGAGAACAGAGCAUUGCCUGGCCACCCUGUGGAUUCUCCCUCAUUUUUCUUUCUCUCCCUCC